rnacentral:rRNA from 1 species
UAGGGAAUCUUCGGCAAUGGACGAAAGUCUGACCGAGCAACGCCGCGUGGGUAAAGAAGCGCCGGCUAACUACGUGCCAGCAGCCGCGGUAAUACGUAGGGCGCGAGCGUUGUCCGGAAUUAUUGGGCGUAAAGGGCUCGUAGGCGGUUUGUCGCGUCUAGCGUUUAAGGCUCGGGCUUAACCCGGGUUUGCGUUGGGUACGGGCAGGCUUGAGUGCGGUAGGGGUAACUGGAAUUCCUGGUGUAGCGGUGGAAUGCGCAGAUAUCAGGAGGAACACCGGUGGCGAAGGCGGGUUACUGGGCCGUUACUGACGCUGAGGAGCGAGAGCGUGGGGAGCGAACAGG